rnacentral:rRNA from 1 species
GAUGAACGCUGGCGGCGUGCCUAAUACAUGCAAGUCGAGCGAACAGACGAGGAGCUUGCUCCUCUGACGUUAGCGGCGGACGGGUGAGUAACACGUGGAUAACCUACCUAUAAGACUGGGAUAACUUCGGGAAACCGGAGCUAAUACCGGAUAAUAUAUUGAACCGCAUGGUUCAAUAGUGAAAGACGGUUUUGCUGUCACUUAUAGAUGGAUCCGCGCCGCAUUAGCUAGUUGGUAAGGUAACGGCUUACCAAGGCAACCAUGCGUAGCCGACCUGAGAGGGUGAUCGGCCACACUAGAACUGAGACACGGUCCAGACUCCUACGGGAGGCAGCAGUAGGGAAUCUUCCGCAAUGGGCGAAAGCUUGACGGAGCAACGCCGCGUGAGUGAUGAAGGUCUUCGGAUCGUAAAACUCUGUUAUUAGGGAAGAACAAAUGUGUAAGUAACUAUGCACGUCUUGACGGUACCUAAUCAGAAAGCCACGGCUAACUACGUG